ensembl:lncRNA
GACCUUAAUAAAGAUAAAAAGCUAAACAAUAAUACUGGCAGUUCAGAGAUAAAAGCUAACUGACCUUUGCUGUCCGUUAUUGCAGGAAAGAUUUGCUCAGAAAUCAGAGCAGCUCUGAUCCUCUGCCAGCCUUCACAAGUCCAUAUCACUGCACACUCACUCCAUCUCCGUCAGCAUUCGCGUUCAAGCAGUGUCACAUCGGUUUCGCCAGGCUAGUGCGGGUUAAUGAGAAACUGUGUGUGUAUGCAGGCACAUAUUCACAUGUUGGCUUUACAGGCCACAGCAACAAUCUUCAAACAUUGCUGAUUUGUAUCGAUAUGGACAAAAUGCAAACAAAACCUUUUGACUUCUCCAGUAGCAAGAAUGAGACAAAUUCAGUUCAAUUUUCUUUGUCUAGCACUUUUAAUAAUGUCACAAAGUAACUUUAUUGAAAUAUGGAUGGAGAUUUAGAACCCUAACAAGGAAUCCAGAUACGACAGUGACUACGUUUGAAUGCAUAUCAAUAUUUCGAUAUUAAUCUAAAUUUAGCAAUACUCUAAGUAGUAUUGAGUCAUGUAAACGCCACAGUCCGAUUGCCUGAUUGAGAUUAAGACAAUAUUCUGCAACACGAAUAUAGAGCUUACAUGGAAUUUGGGUAGGGUUAGGGUUAGGGUUUGGGUUAGGGGUUAGGGUUAGGGUUUGGGUUCGGGGUUUGGGUUCGGGGUUAGGGUUAGGGGUUAGGGUUUGGGUUAGGGGUUAGGGUUAGGAUUAGGGUUAUGGGCUAGUGUUAGGGUUAGGGUAGAGUUUAGGGGUUAGGGUUAUGGGUUAGGGUUAGGGUUAGGGGUGAAGGUUUGUGGUUAGGGUUAGGGUUAGAAUUAUCUCCCUGAGACGACACGAGGAAGAAAAGACGAAUCAAACAUAAAAGCGAACACAUCCUUUUCUGGGUCACAGCGGAUAGUGCUAUUAUAAAUCAUUACUCAUCUCCAGCUGCAUACUCUAAAGUUAAACAGUAU